AAAAACACAAAGAAUAGAAGAAGUAGACAAUCAGAUGGAUUUCAGAGACGCUGUGGGUGGUGAGAACAGCGAGCAUCUUUUGUCGAAAUGCAUCUAUGAGUGGCUUUGGUGAAAAAAGUAACCGAAGACGUCGGCAGGCGUUAACUGUAUCGAGGCAAGAGCUAGUUCUUGUGAAGAAAAGUGGAACCACGCAUGGGCGUCUUUUAA
rfam:Mycobacterium abscessus strain PAP053 genome assembly, contig: ERS075544SCcontig000016